CUCCGGCAGCUUACACAUGCAAGUCGAGGGGUAACAGAGAAAAGCUUGCUUUUUUGCUGACGACCGGCGCACGGGUGCGUAACGCGUAUGCAAUCUACCUUUUGCUAAGGGAUAGCCCAGAGAAAUUUGGAUUAAUACCUUAUAGUAUGAUGACUUGGCAUCAAGAUAUCAUUAAAGGUUACGGCAAAAGAUGAGCAUGCGUUCUAUUAGCUAGUUGGUGUGGUAACGGCAUACCAAGGCAACGAUAGAUAGGGGUCCUGAGAGGGAGAUCCCCCACACUGGUACUGAGACACGGACCAGACUCCUACGGGAGGCAGCAGUGAGGAAUAUUGGACAAUGGAGGCAACUCUGAUCCAGCCAUGCCGCGUGCAGGAAGACUGCCCUAUGGGUUGUAAACUGCUUUUAUACAGGAAGAAACACCUCUACGUGUAGAGAUUUGACGGUACUGUAAGAAUAAGGAUCGGCUAACUCCGUGCCAGCAGCCGCGGUAAUACGGAGGAUCCAAGCGUUAUCCGGAAUCAUUGGGUUUAAAGGGUCCGUAGGUGGAUAAUUAAGUCAGAGGUGAAAUCCUGCAGCUUAACUGUAGAAUUGCCUUUGAUACUGGUUGUCUUGAGUUAUUAUGAAGUGGUUAGAAUAUGUAGUGUAGCGGUGAAAUGCAUAGAUAUUACAUAGAAUACCAAUUGCGAAGGCAGAUCACUAAUAAUAUACUGACACUGAUGGACGAAAGCGUGGGGAGCGAACAGGAUUAGAUACCCUGGUAGUCCACGCCGUAAACGAUGGUCACUAGCUGUUCGGGUUUCGAUCUGAGUGGCUAAGCGAAAGUGAUAAGUGACCCACCUGGGGAGUACGUUCGCAAGAAUGAAACUCAAGGAAUUGACAGGGGCCCGCACAAGCGGUGGAGCAUGUGGUUUAAUUCGAUGAUACGCGAGGAACCUUACCAGGCUUAAAUGUGGUUUGACAGCUUUAGAGAUAGAGUUUUCUUCGGACAAAUCACAAGUGCUGCAUGGUGUCGUCAGCUCGUGCGUGGAGGUGUCAGUUAGUCUAUACGAGCGCACUCCUGUGUAGUGGCAGCGAGUAUGUCGGGACUCUAGCAGGACUGCGGUGCCAAACGGUGAAGAAGGGUGGUAUGACGUUCAAUCAUCAGGCUACGUCUGGCUACCCG
rnacentral:rRNA from 1 species